CUUCACGUCACCCCGCUGUCAAUCAUCAAUAGGACGGUCCGCACUGCUUCACCUAGCGAUAAUUAAGUGUUUUGGGGGACCGUGUGGGGCAUUUAUAACGGGUGGACCCCCGAAAACACUCGAAAUGGAACUACUGGUUAUUCUUUGGUGAGACAAAGCUCCGACGUGUCCGCGGGGGUUCGAGGCAAAGUUCCCCUGUGCUCUGAAAGGACUUGUGCCGCUGCAACAACAGGUGACGAGGACGGCAGAGCAAUUAAAAUUGUCGGCCACCACAGAGCAACAGAUGGAGGUUCGCACCAGGAUAUUGCCACUAAGAGGAUUCCUCUUUCUUUGCUCGCCAUUCUAGACUUUUCUUUUUUUUUUGUGUGUGUGCAAAGAGUCUUUCAUCGUGACCCAGCUCGACUGGCUUACUGGAACUGGUGUAGCGUCGUUGCUUAAGCCCUCUGAAACGCGCCACAACGCGCUUUGACCUCCUUGGCAAACAGAAAUCCCUGAUCGAGUCUGCUGUGAAUAAGCAACCAGACCCCCUGAAUGCGUCCUCUGUCCUUGGACAUAAAAUAUUCCACCGAGGGCAGAAAAGGUCGACGACGGCCACUCGAUUCCUUCCAUAAACUUUAUUGUGCCAACGCAUUGCAGAGACCUGCCUCCGUCCUCUGGGGACACGAAGCCCGCUGACUCCUGAAAGAGGAGCUGUUCUCCGCCUCCACGCGCAGGUGAAGCCCUUUCGUGUGACGGAGGUCGCCCGGUCGCAGUACACAUAGUGGUUGUGAGUUUGGUUCCCUUAAUCAUAAUAGAUUUUAUUGACCGGCUCAAGUUGCCGCCCUUUGCGUUCCUAACUUUCGAUGCGGUUGUUAACUGCAUUGUGGUGGUCUAUAAAGCGGUAUAGUUCGAGGCAAUGCAUUUUAUUGUUUUUCUUUACGGAAAUUGGUUAUAGGAGCCUGAAGUUAUUUGUUUUUAACCCCAAUCUUUUAUUACAAAUAAUGAAAAUUGUCGGAGUAGUGUUCCAAUUGAGAUUAUCACAAAAGUUGGUCUCGGUGAUGCUUCAGCAUUAAUAUUUAACCUGUACUAUCAGUAUUUUUGUGGGCCAGGUUGUGUAUAUUAUUUUAAGCACUGGCCUUUACAGGUAUUUCACACACGCACAGUUCAAUAAAGACCUAAUAAAAAUCCCGCGGCUGUUUAAUGAUCUAGAUUUAAAUGCUUUCGCUGUUGGAAAACGUAAAGAAUGGUUCAUUUAACUCUGAGCAUUAUUACCUCUUUAUUUUAUUUCCUUUGUAUUUGACCUGAACCCUGAAAGGAAGGAGAGGGAGAGGAACUGGGAAUCAUCAGGGGGAUCCAAUUAUAUUUUCUUUUGUGUUCACUGCAAAAAGAUUACUCUGCGACAAGAUCUCUCUCAACUUAGUUUUUUCAGAUUUUAUCUGCAGACCUGUUAUUUUUCUUCCUUAUCUGAGGUGUAAUAUGCAGGGACCUCUUACAAUUUGAACCUAAUGAACAAUAUUACAGCGCAAGAAGUACACCUGCAGUAAAUCAUCAACUUAAACUACACCUCCCUGUACUUCUCAAGUUAAAAGCAAUCGGUUUGUAUUCUGCAGCUUAAAAACUAGAGGCUAAAAUGUUCCCGGCGGAUCGUGUUGAGUUCAGCCGUGAAGUUUCAGCGUGAACGGACAUGGCGACUUUCCAAUCCCAAUAGCUCGUGGCUAAAUUAUUUCUUCGACCAGAAUUAGUCUGGAGGCUUAACAAGGAUCCUUAGAUGACGUUCAUCCGAGCCGACUCGCCAAAAUAAAAAAAGAAUGUAAUUUUGUGAAUCUGAUUAUAAAGUAUUUCAAAUUGAUUACACAACAGGCCAAUAUGCAGUCGGCACGGAUGCGUCGGCAUAAAUGCAAGUAUCCAAAUGGCCCAGCGUGU
ensembl:lncRNA